CCUACGGGGGGCAGCAGUGGGGAAUAUUGGACAAUGGGCGAAAGCCUGAUCCAGCCAUGCCGCGUGUGUGAAGAAGGCCUUCGGGUUGUAAAGCACUUUCAGUGGGGAAGAAAGCCUUGGGGCUAAUACCCUCGAGGAAGGACAUCACCCACAGAAGAAGCACCGGCUAACUCCGUGCCAGCAGCCGCGGUAAUACGGAGGGUGCGAGCGUUAAUCGGAAUUACUGGGCGUAAAGCGCGCGUAGGCGGUCUGAUAAGCCGGUUGUGAAAGCCCCGGGCUCAACCUGGGAACGGCAUCCGGAACUGUCAGGCUAGAGUGCAGGAGAGGAAGGUGGAAUUCCCGGUGUAGCGGUGAAAUGCGUAGAGAUCGGGAGGAAUACCAGUGGCGAAGGCGGCCUUCUGGACUGACACUGACGCUGAGGUGCGAAAGCGUGGGUAGCAAACAGGAUUAGUACCCGAGUAGUC
rnacentral:rRNA from 1 species